GCCAUUCCUCAUCACACAAAACUUGUUUGUGUGUGAGAUUUCUCCAGCAAACACUCCACUUUGUCACCCACUUGAAUGAGGAUGUGGUUGGUUUUGAUUUGAAUUUGAAAGGAGUUUUAAAUUUGAUUGAAACCUCAUCCUAAUCCCUUCCACCCACCAGCCACCUUUGUGGAGUUCUUUUGUGUGAUAAAAAGGAGUAGCUCUCGAUGGUUUUUCAUGCCCAUAUGAUCA
rnacentral:lncRNA from 1 species